GGGUCGUUAGCUCAGUUGGUAGAGCAGUUGACUUUUAAUCAAUUGGUCGCAGGUUCGAAUCCUGCACGACCCACCU
rnacentral:tRNA from 3 species